GACGAACGCUGGCGGCGUGCUUAACACAUGCAAGUCGAACGGAAAGGCCCUGCUUUUGUGGGGUGCUCGAGUGGCAAACGGGUGAGUAACACGUGAGUAACCUGCCCUUGACUUUGGGAUAACUUCAGGAAACUGGGGCUAAUACCGGAUAGGAGCUCCUGCUGCACGGUGGGGGUUGGAAAGUUUCGGCGGUUGGGGAUGGACUCGCGGCUUAUCAGCUUGUUGGUGGGGUAGUGGCUUACCAAGGCUUUGACGGGUAGCCGGCCUGAGAGGGUGACCGGCCACAUUGGGACUGAGAUACGGCCCAGACUCCUACGGGAGGCAGCAGUGGGGAAUAUUGCACAAUGGGCGGAAGCCUGAUGCAGCAACGCCGCGUGCGGGAUGACGGCCUUCGGGUUGUAAACCGCUUUCGCCUGUGACGAAGCGUGAGUGACGGUAAUGGGUAAAGAAGCACCGGCUAACUACGUGCCAGCAGCCGCGGUGAUACGUAGGGUGCGAGCGUUGUCCGGAUUUAUUGGGCGUAAAGGGCUCGUAGGUGGUUGAUCGCGUCGGAAGUGUAAUCUUGGGGCUUAACCCUGAGCGUGCUUUCGAUACGGGUUGACUUGAGGAGGGUAGGGGAGAAUGGAAUUCCUGGUGGAGCGGUGGAAUGCGCAGAUAUCAGGAGGAACACCAGUGGCGAAGGCGGUUCUCUGGGCCUUUCCUGACGCUGAGGAGCGAAAGCGUGGGGAGCGAACAGGCUUAGAUACCCUGGUAGUCCACGCUGUAAACGGUGGGUACUAGGUGUGGGGUCCAUUCCACGGGUUCCGUGCCGUAGCUAACGCUUUAAGUACCCCGCCUGGGGAGUACGGCCGCAAGGCUAAAACUCAAAGGAAUUGACGGGGCCCCGCACAAGCGGCGGAGCAUGCGGAUUAAUUCGAUGCAACGCGUAGAACCUUACCUGGGUUUGACAUGGAUCGGGAGUGCUCAGAGAUGGGUGUGCCUCUUUUGGGGUCGGUUCACAGGUGGUGCAUGGCUGUCGUCAGCUCGUGUCGUGAGAUGUUGGGUUAAGUCCCGCAACGAGCGCAACCCUUGUUCACUGUUGCCAGCACGUUAUGGUGGGGACUCAGUGGAGACCGCCGGGGUCAACUCGGAGGAAGGUGGGGAUGACGUCAAGUCAUCAUGCCCCUUAUGUCCAGGGCUUCACGCAUGCUACAAUGGCUGGUACAGAGAGUGGCGAGCCUGUGAGGGUGAGCGAAUCUCGGAAAGCCGGUCUCAGUUCGGAUUGGGGUCUGCAACUCGACCUCAUGAAGUCGGAGUCGCUAGUAAUCGCAGAUCAGCAACGCUGCGGUGAAUACGUUCCUGGGGCUUGUACACACCGCCCGUCAAGUCAUGAAAGUUGGUAACACCCGAAGCCGGUGGCCUAACCGUUGUGGGGGAGCCGUCGAAGGUGGGACUGGUGAUUAGGACU
rnacentral:rRNA from 1 species